CCCUUCUCUAUCUUACCAAACUUCAUCUCUCCUUCUCUCUGUACAAAUAACAAAAAAAAAAUAAAUCAUUUUUGUAGUCUCGGAAGUCUCAUUAUCUCUUACUGUUUUUCAACUGAAACUACACUAACUAAAUACUAAUUCUCACAAUUCUGAUGUGAUUUUGAUUCACAAAAUCAAUACUAUGAUACAAACAAAGUAGUCUGGUCUGGACUUUUCUCCGCUGUCAAGAUUCGUUUUUCUCUCUGUCCUCUUUCUCCAGAAACAAAACAAAAGAGAAAGAAAAGAGAGAAACCUAAUUUCCUUUCUUUCCUUCUUUUCUUUACCACAGCACCGUCAUGAUUCUGCAAUUCUUAUCUUAUCAUAGAAAUUGAACAAAUUUCUAAAUUAGGGUUACUUUUCUUCUGAGUCAUGGGUUGUACAAGCUCUAAGCUUGAUGAUUUACCUGCAGUAAGUUUAUGCCGUGAACGUUGCAAGUUUCUUGAUGAUGCAAUUAAACAAAGGUAUGAGCUUGCUAAUUCUCAUGUCGCUUAUAUUGAUUCCCUGAAAGAAAUUGGUGUUUCUCUGAACCGAUUCUUUGAUCAUGAGAGUCUUAAUGAUUAUACUUAUUCUUCAAUCCCUUCCCCGAUUCUUAAUCUACCCCCUGCAAUGAAGAAAGCUGGUCUUGAUACCGAUAGUCAGCAGCCUGUAAUUUUUCAGUCCUCGGCCCACCAUAAUCACUCUCACUCCAAUUCUGGUUCUCAUCUUCAUUUUCAUAGUGAUGAUGACGACGACGAUGAGGAUGAAGAUGAUUCUGAUGGUGAUGGGUCACUUCAUAGUUCAGGAAAUAUGACUCCUUCACAUUAUAAUCAUCAAAAAAAUGAAACUCAAAGUGGUGGUGGUGGUGUCGGUGCUGGUGGUUAUGGAGGUGGUGUUGGUGGUUAUGGAGGAGGUGGUGGUGGUGGUUAUGGAGGUGUCGGUGGUGGGUUUAUGAACAUGAAUUUUAUGCAGAAUAGAUCAACUCAGUCUGUAGUUUAUCAGCAGCGACCAAUGAGUCCGGAUACUGUACAUAUGUCUGAAGCAUCAUCAUCUUAUUAUCAGAAUCCUAAUCAACAAAAUAAUGGUUCUUAUGGUUAUUAUAAUUAUCCUCCUCAACCUCAACCAAGUUAUUCCAAUUAUGGGUUCUAUGGCUCAGUCCCACCUUAUGGUUCUGCUCAACCAUAUGGCUCUGCUGCUCUGCCGCCUCAGAUUGCAGCUUCGACAUCUUCGAAGCCACCUCCUCCACCUUCACCACCUAGAGCUUCAGCUUGGGAUUUCUUAAACCCGUUUGAGACAGUCGAGAAGUAUUACCCCCCUACAACGCCUAGUCGUGAUUCAAGGGAAGUGAGAGAUGAAGAAGGGAUUCCUGAUUUAGAAGAUGAAAAUUAUGUUGACGAAGUAGUAAAAGAAGUUCAUGGUAAUCAGAGAUUUAGUGGUGGACCUGGGAAUAAUUACUCCAAGAUGGUGGCUGAUGAGGGGAAAAAAGAAAAUGCGGGUGAAGCAUUAUAUCAAGCCAGGCCAAGUGUGUCAAAGGAGAAAGAAAUGCAGUAUGAAGUUCAUGUGGUGGAUAAGGGUGUGGCUUCCAAGGAGAAACAGUCUGAUAAUCAUGGAAAUGCUGGAGCUUUUAAGGAUCGUGGGGUUUCUAGUGUUCUGCAGGAAAUUAGAGCUCAGUUUGAGAGGGCCUCACUUUCUGGAAAUGAGGUCUCUGAAAUUCUAGAGUCGGGAAAGCUUCCAUAUCAUCGGAAAAAUGUAGUUUAUCAAGCUUCAUCAAAGAUGUUGCAUUCAAUUACCCCUUCAUUGUCAGUAGUAUCUGCAUUGCCAUCUACAUCGAGACGUGCUCAAUCUCCAUCCUCCACGGAGAAGUCUGCUUCUGAUAUCUUGGACUUUGAGGAAGAUAGAGGGACGAGUUCAACACCUAUAAAGCUUUCUUCAACUUUGCAAAAGCUAUACAUGUGGGAAAAGAAGUUGUAUGCGGAAGUCAAGAGCGAGGAGAAGAUGAGGGUAGAUCAUGAGAGGAAGUCCAAGCGCUUGAAGCGUUUGGCUGAAAAGGGGGCUGAGGCUAUUAAAAUUGAGACGACUCAAAAAUUAGUCAGGACUUUAUCCACGAAGAUGCGAAUAGCAAUACAGGUUGUUGACAAGAUAUCAGAUAAGAUAAACAAGUUGAGGGAUGAAGAGUUGUGGCCACAGGUUAAUGAACUAAUUAAUGGAUUCGUCAGAAUGUGGAAAACUAUGCUUGAAUGUCAUCAUAGUCAAUGCCAGGUCAUAGUGGAAGCUAAAAACUUGGAUGCAUUUGUGUCCGGCAAAAACCUUAGUGAUGCGCAUCUUGAGGCGACAUUUCGACUCGAACUCGAGCUGCAGAGAUGGACUUUGAACUUCACCAGAUGGGUCGCCGCCCAAAAGGGUUACAUUAGAAACUUGAAUAGCUGGCUUUUAAAAUGCCUUCUUUAUGAACCUGAAGAAACAGAUGAUGGACUUCGUCCAUUUUCUCCUAGUAGUAUUGGUGCACCUAUUGUGUUUGUGAUAUGUAACCAAUGGUCACAAGCAAUGGAUAUUAUUUCCGAGAGGGAAGUUAUUGAUGCUAUGCGUAGUUUCACAAUGAGCGUGUUUCAGAUUUGGGAAGAACAGAAUCAAGCGAAGCAUAAUAUGAUACCAGCAGACAAAGAUAUUGAUAGGAAAGCUAAGGCCUUAGAAAGGGAGGAGCAGAAAAUGCAGAAAAUGGUUCAGGCAAUGGACAAACAAGUGGUUCAAAUCACAGGUCAUAUGGUACUACAGGCUGAUACAAAAAGUAGUAGUCUGCAAUCAGGCCUGAAGCUGAUUUUUCAGUCCAUGGAGAAGUUUACAGCUGACUCUAUGCAAGCAUUCAAUGCGCUUCAGGCACGUAUUGAAGAAGAACAACGUGCUCGUGUGAAUACAAAAAGGCCAUAGUUUUUAUAUUGAAGGAGCUGGUAUCAUUUCUCUAAAGCAUGGUUCUCUGGUUCUGUGAUCGAAAUUUUUCUAGAGAGUAGUACCAAAAGGUUUUCUGAAGCACAUGAAUCCCCUCCAUCGAAAUUCUCAUGUAUAUGAUUUGCUGCACCACAUUUUGGUUGUAGUUUUGCUACGCGAAAAGGUUUGCAGAAUGGCAAGUUACUUCCCCCGUGGUCCUUCAACUUGAGCCAAGUACCAACUGAGGUUCAGUUGCAACUGCAUGGAUGGGAGGAAGAUAACACGAGCUCAAGUGGUGGUUCACGGGUGAAAUGCAAAUAUAGUCGUGGCACUGGGAAAGGCAAUAUUCUUUUUUUCGGUUUUCGUUCUAGCUCCAGCAGUUGAGUGCGACUGCUGAUCGCACUUGUAUUGUCUGGCUUCAGGUAUCCGUGGCACAUGUGCCAAACCUGUCAUUCUGUGGUCAAGCAGCAACAACGUAUUCACCAUCAAAUGAAUCCUGCUAGCAAGUCUUGUACAGUUGCUUACUCUAUCUGUGGGCCUGAGAUGGACACUGAGUGAACAGAUGCAUCAAGGACGGUAAAGAGGGGUUACAAACUUACAAUGACUUGAGCUCGUGAUGGAGCUAAAGUCUACGAGAAAUUACCUUUUAGAGUGUCCAGUGGACCGCUUCUGUCACAUCUAUCCAUCGUCAUCAGACAGACAAAUCUUCUACUUACUCCAGUUUUGAGAGGAACAGAAUGGGAAGGAUUUGAACUACAUGCUGACAACAUCGGUUCACGGGAUGGUGCGCAUCAUCUGUGUGUAAAAUGUUUCCAACUAUGCAGUAAUUACGGAGAAAUGUGCAGAAUCUGCAGAUCAAGAAUUCAGAAAUCCAUGUUCCUGCCGUGGUUAUUCUUAAGCGGUUCCUAGAACAGCGAAACUGUCUCCAUUGGCAGAAGGAUUUACAAGAUUGUUGCUGAAAGCCAUAACUGUGGCAAAAGUUUUCCGCCAUUCAAAAAUGUCAAAUAGAAGGAUUCUUGGAAAUUGCUGUUGGAGAAAGUUCUCAGAAGCAGAGAAAUAAAUCAUUUUAGGUCGAGUGUUUUUAUUCCGUGGAAAGAUGCAGCAAGCCAGCAAGUUAGUGACACUUGUUAGUGGUGCGUGUGGAAUACAUGCCUUUAUUGUUCAUCUGAUUAUUUAAACAUAUCUAAGCAUAUUUAAUCAAAGUCGUUAAGACUCCUUUUGUAAAA